AUUGAACGCUGGCGGCAGGCCUAACACAUGCAAGUCGAGCGGAUGAGAGGAGCUUGCUCCUUGAUUCAGCGGCGGACGGGUGAGUAAUGCCUAGGAAUCUGCCUGGUAGUGGGGGACAACGUUUCGAAAGGAACGCUAAUACCGCAUACGUCCUACGGGAGAAAGCAGGGGACCUUCGGGCCUUGCGCUAUCAGAUGAGCCUAGGUCGGAUUAGCUAGUAGGUGGGGUAAUGGCCCACCUAGGCGACGAUCCGUAACUGGUCUGAGAGGAUGAUCAGUCACACUGGAACUGAGACACGGUCCAGACUCCUACGGGAGGCAGCAGUGGGGAAUAUUGGGCAAUGGGCGAAAGCCUGAUCCAGCCAUGCCGCGUGUGUGAAGAAGGUCUUCGGAUUGUAAAGCACUUUAAGUUGGGAGGAAGGGCAGUUAGUUAAUACCUGGCUGUUUUGACGUUACCAACAGAAUAAGCACCGGCUAACUUCGUGCCAGCCGCCGCAGUAA
rnacentral:rRNA from 1 species